UACAGGCUUAACACAUGCAAGUCGAGGGGCAGCAUGGUCUUAGCUUGCUAAGGCUGAUGGCGACCGGCGCACGGGUGAGUAACACGUAUCCAACCUGCCGUCUACUCUUGGCCAGCCUUCUGAAAGGAAGAUUAAUCCAGGAUGGCAUCAUGAGUUCACAUGUCCGCAUGAUUAAAGGUAUUUUCCGGUAGACGAUGGGGAUGCGUUCCAUUAGAUAGUAGGCGGGGUGACGGCCCACCUAGUCAACGAUGGAUAGGGGUUCUGAGAGGAAGGUCCCCCACAUUGGAACUGAGACACGGUCCAAACUCCUACGGGAGGCAGCAGUGAGGAAUAUUGGUCAAUGGGCGAUGGCCUGAACCAGCCAAGUAGCGUGAAGGAUGACUGCCCUAUGGGUUGUAAACUUCUUUUAUAAAGGAAUAAAGUCGGGUAUGCAUACCCGUUUGCAUGUACUUUAUGAAUAAGGAUCGGCUAACUCCGUGCCAGCAGCCGCGGUAAUACGGAGGAUCCGAGCGUUAUCCGGAUUUAUUGGGUUUAAAGGGAGCGUAGAUGGAUGUUUAAGUCAGUUGUGAAAGUUUGCGGCUCAACCGUAAAAUUGCAGUUGAUACUGGAUGUCUUGAGUGCAGUUGAGGCAGGCGGAAUUCGUGGUGUAGCGGUGAAAUGCUUAGAUAUCACGAAGAACUCCGAUUGCGA
rnacentral:rRNA from 1 species